AGUAAUAAAAUAUAUAUGUUAUAUAUAUAUAUGUUAGAUGUAUGAGGAAUUUUAUAUUGCAUUUAUAACAUACGGAUACUGGUGGCAUUAUCGCGAUGUGUUUGCUAGUUAAAGUCCGUUACUUUCCACAUUGUCAUCGUCGCCACUGCAAACCAAUGAAUUACAGACUACGAGACGACUCCACACUGGUAUAAGGCAAAAAAAAAGAAAAAAAAGGAGGAGAUAGG